GUGAAGCUAAUUUGGCAAGGAGUUCUACGAACAUGAAUUGACCACAAGGUCAGGGCUUUGUAGUAACAGGCUUUUUAUACAUGUCUUAUCAUUAUCCACUGUUUUAAGAGGCAAGGAGUUGAAAAGUUUGGAUUAUUUGUCUGGAUAAGAAUUUCUGUAUCCCUGAACCGGGAAAAGAUAAUCACUUGAAUGGAAUUAAUAUAUUAUUUUCCAUUCUUGAAAAUAGAGAAUAUUAUGGUUGUUCAUGUUCACACUGUUACAACAGAAGACGAAAAGUUAUGACAUUACCC
rnacentral:lncRNA from 1 species